rfam:Myotis davidii contig6321, whole genome shotgun sequence.
GCCGGCAUGGCUCAGUGUUGAGCGUCGACCUGUGAACCUGGAGGUCAGGGUUCCAUUCCCUGUCCGGGCA